rnacentral:lncRNA from 1 species
GAAAUGACGAGUUGAUGAAUUCAUUCCUGUGAAUGAAGUCUGCGUCACCAAUUGUUACGACAUGGCAGACGAUACACUACCGAUCCCCUUUCUUUUUUAGUAAAUUAACAAUAUAAAUAGUAAACUUCCGAGUCUUAAACGAAACGAAAUUCAUGCGUGGAAUUCUUUAUUUUCUAAAAGAACAAAUUUCCGGAGUUGUACGGGAAGUACGAGAGGACAUGAAAAAUAUUCUUAACUGUUGGGUUGAUCAAAUCUAAUUGUUUACGUGACUCGGCUAGAAAAUGAAGAAUUUCGCUGGUCGUGAUUUACGGGCUGUUGUGCAUGCCGCAUAACAAAACAAACUUGAAAAAGAAACGGGGGGUUAACGGUGGUCUAGAGGAAUGAUGGACAAAUAUUUGUCAGAAAUUUCGUUCGUUGCCCCACGCUGAUGCACGACAGUUAGUAAUUGAUUUCAUAGAAAAAGCGGAAGUCGACGACACACACACACAAAAAAAAACACAACGCACUUCUUUGUCAUAUGUCAACCAAUAGGGAAGUAAAUAAAUAAAAAAUGUUUCUUACUUCGGUCGGGAAUGUACGGGAAAAAAAAAGUCGCUUACGUAGCCGUUCAUUGUGCGACAUAAAAGGUUAAAAGGGAAAAAAAUGAUAAUAAUGAAUAGAGAAAUAUUACGAUAUAUAACCCAUAGAAAAGUUUUUACCAUUUCAAAGUGUUCCCUCGUCAAGUCCGUUCUUGUCGGUGCCCUCCCGCGGUGCGCAACGCGGUUCUUUCUUUGCCCGUUUAGCCCGACGGGUUGUCGAGACGAAGACGACGUCAUAACGCAAAAGACACGCAUGACGAAAGGAAAACACAUUUGAGUACCGUAAUAAGAGAACAUUCUCUUCAUCUCGUGUAUAAUACAAAACAAAAAGACGACCUUUGUUUAAAGACGUUAAACGGGAAACAUCUGACGCCAUAUUUUUCUUUUUGUUCCGUUCAAACGAAAUUCCGCGUAAAAACCCUUCAAAUUUUUUUUUUUUUUUUCAUUAAAAAAAAUUAUAAUUACAAUAAAUUGUGAGAAAUUCAACAGGAAAACUGCUGUUGCUCCAAUCAAGCCAUCAGCUUCAUCAACAAGCUCUUUGAUGGAUAGGCUCUGCACUUGUAACGCAGUCGUGAUGAGCAACAGCGAGCAGCUGGCCGCGUAGUAGCAAGCCCAGUCAUAUCCUGUUUGAGCAGAGAGGAAAAAACAAAACAAAAAAAAAGGGCCGAUCCGUAAAACUGACCGGAGAAGAACAAAAAAUUGUUGAAUUUCUCUUUACUGUCGGAUUUAAAAAAAAAAGAAAGAAAAACUAACGUUCCGCUUUCUUUCUCAAACGGCUCGCGUCUUUUGUUAUACGAUCGACACGAACAUAAUAAUAAUGAGCGACUGUUUACUCUCUUGUCUUCGUCAUCUAUCUUUCCAUUUUUUUUUUUUGCCCAAAUAAAAAGAUGAUUGAAAUGACGUCACAGAAGUUUCGUUAUUCAAUAGUGGGAACGUUGGCUUCUGCCAAAAUUGGCGAACGAACGCAAAGAUGUGCAUAUAUAAAAAAACGACUGUGAAUUAUCGCGUUAAUCUGCGCAGUGCUAGAACGCAUUCAGAGCGUGAAAUAAGGUUUCGCCUUUUUGCUAAUGUGCUUCGCACCGAAUGCAACGAUCGAGAAGAAAACGCGGGAGUCAGCGAACUGCAGCCGCUCAGUUAGAGACUGACGACCGCAUCGUGAAUCACAAACGACGUGAAUAUUAGGGUCUACACAGGCGAAAGAACAGCGACAACGACCGCGGGAGUGAACCUUCUUUUGGCGACGAUGGUUGAAUAUACUCACGACAAUAUUUGCUGGUUGCAAAAGAAAAAGAGAAAAGAAAUUUUUAAAAAAUUGUAUAUACGCAAUCAAACAAUUGACUGCGCAUAGUCUGAAAACGAUAAAUCGACUUUCACUUCCAUUUGGAAAAUCCUAAAACUUCCAUUGAACUUUGUUGUGUUGUUGGCCGGCAGCGAUGCGAUUGUAAAUAUUUGCAUCGGAAAGCGACUUGAAAUUAGCGACCCGUGUUUUCUGUUAGCGCGUUUCAUUUUCAGCGUUGCUGGGCUUCUUUUGACGGCUGUAAAUUCCUUCCAUCCGUAGAGCAUCAUCAGGCCUCUCUGUUCUUUAAAAUGUGCGCAUAAUCAUAAUCAUUUAGUUUUCUAUUACACCUGAGCUGUUUCGCUGUUGUCGGCGAAUUUUUAUUCAGUUUUCUACGACGCACAAAAGUCUCCGCCGGUCGUUUACAUUUUCCGUGAACCAGUUUUUGCGAAAUGCGUUUUUACAAUCAAAAUGGGUCGGAGAAAAGCCUUUUAUUUUAAAUACUUGCAUACAUAAUUAUAAUGUUCGCGAACUUUUUUUUUUAUGAUUUUCUUUUUCCUGUACAACUUCAAAUAUAAUUUGGCUAUAGGCUUUUUCAUGCAAAUAACAACUGAGAAAAAAGAGUCACGAAACUUCUGCUGCCGCACAUCCCGUGAUUUAUUUAUGAUUAGGACCCAUACAGCGACGCCAGAUUGUUUGCUAUCAUUGUCUAAAUUUUUAUUUCUUUUCUUUAAAAACAACCAUGCCGUGUCAACCAACACGACAACGGUUCGGUAGAUUGAUGAUAUACCUUUGCGCACAGGAAUUAUGGAGAAGCCUUUUUUAUAUUUUACACUCUCUCAUCAAUUCGAGCAUUUUACAAUAAGAAACGGAGGCCAAAAGAAAAGCUUCCACCUUUGCGUGACGAAGACUACUUGGCUUUGAAUGACAGUUGACUUUGUGCCUUACCUUUUGCCCUUGAUGUACAGAAUUUAUUGUGUGUUGCACUCAAACCAUUUUGAUUCGUUAUAUCUCAACACAGACUUUUAAUAGAGUACGAACGAUCUAUACGAAUAUCGGUUUCAAUCUUUAGAAACAAUUCAUCGCUAUCCCUUAAAACAAAAUCGAUAUAUUUCUUUCACGAAUCGCGGUCGAGGUAAAACGUAAAGCUGAGAGAUGGGCAGGUAAGAAGUCACGACCGCUACAACUAUAUAGCAGCUCCCGCUCAAUGACGUAGCGGAUCGUGAGUAACGUUGUAUGCGGAUAGUGAUGGUGAAAAACAUAGUAGGCUAUACUCAUUCCGUCUGCACGCCAUCUGUGCCUUUUUUUUUUCACGCAGAGCACAAAACAGACGGGACAACACGAAAAAAGAGAAGCGGGACGACGAUGUUAUUGGACUUGCAUGGAUUAUGCACGCGGUCUAUAUACAUUGCUACUGGCGAAACAAAUUCUUGCAGCCAUAAAAUUGGAUGAAAUAUGGAUCUGGCAAUCAAAAGAACAUGGGUAUAUACAGUCCCUUUAGAAACGAUAUGAAUUCCAUGUAGAAGAACUAGACUGUCCUAGUUGUGGGCCAGUUCCUUUCAUUCGCCAGAUUCUAUUUUUUUUUGUCAAAAAAAAAAUACUGGAACUUAUUUGAAAGAGCCGAAUAUUAUUGACACACUUUAGCUGUCAAGAUUAUAAGCAAAUCCCUUUUAAAUUUUGGGGAAAGAAUGACUUUGCGGGAAAAUGUAAAUGGCGGCUUCCUUUACGAACGCCGUUCUCUUUUGUCAUUUACUGUCAUCAAAACUGAUUUCAUCCGACGGGGUUGGUAUAUACACAUCUCUCUCUUUUUAUUUUUACUGGAUUGUUGUCAAUAUAAUGAACUCUCUCUUUCACCAACGAAUUUGCAUUAAUAUAAAGAGAAAGGCGUGACAUCCACUAACGUCAACUAAUAGCAUCGGAUCGUGUGUAUCAUCUGCGAGAGGAGAGAGUGACGCCAAUUUAUUCUUCAAACACUAAUUACAUUUAUGCAUGUAAUACACAGAGAUGCCGACUAUCUGAAGUCGAUUCGAAUGAUUUUUUCAAAUGCGUCUAUUUUGUUUCGCAAGUCACGGUAUAAAAGGCAGUUCGUCUAUAGCAAUAAAUGCAAAGUAUGUCGCCGCAAGUAUUCGUCGUCUCCCAUCACCCCCUAUCUAAUUCUUUCACCACACGUUUUUUGAAGAAGCGCUGGAACAUUCCAUCAUCAUUGACAUGAUCACCUCCGAGCGGCUCAUUAUCAGUCAUCCCGAUCUCCCGCCGAGUUUGCUGCUCAUCACACAGCACAGAAAUGCAGUUCAACGAACGCGUCACAACACUCGAGAAGGAACGGUUGCAAAUUGGCUUUCCCUUUCACAUCACCAGACAUUAUCAUUAUUUAACGUAAAAAACUCAGCUUGAAAGAAUGCAAAUGAAUCAAGAGAAAAUGUUCAGUAACAGAUGGGAAGACAAGACCCAACAUGUUUAUGUAAUAUAAAUGGAUGUUAUUACAUAUACACUAUAAUAUGCACAUACCGCUAUUUGUAAACGGUUCGAAUUACAUCUUACAGCAUAUUUAUAGACAGCGCCCACUACAACAUACUUAUACUACACAUACAAGACGACAAUACAUUUGGUAAUUCAUUUCAA